AAAAGCUCUAAGUUGAAGUAUUGCUUCAUACCUGAGUUUCUCUGAUCUAGAUUAGCAUUCGGGGACCCUCCGUAAGUAUUCUUUCGUUGUUUUAUCGCUUUUCGAGUCCGAAAGUCAACGUUUUGUUGACUUUCUGCAUUGACCAGCUUAUGGUCGAUGCGAAGUUCAUGGAACUUCAUAACGUGAGCGUGAUCACGAUGGUUAUAGUCCGUAGUGACUAUACCUACUGAUCACCACAUUAUCUAGGCUCAGUGACGAGUCGUAGUUUCGGCCAAAAUGUGCAUUCUUGCAUAUUUUGUAACCAAACUACUCGUGAGCAUCAAAGCCGUUUGUUUUGAUGUCAAACCUGUUUUCUAAACUUAGUUAAGCAUGUUCUAACACGCUUAGCUCGUCACUUUUAGUUUAGUGCUUAUAUAGGGUCGUAAGGUAAGCGAUCUAAACCAUCGCUUAUACUUUCGAACCCGACCCAUUUGGUCGAUCAUUAGGAUCCGACCAAACACAUUAGGUGACCAUAGCUAUAACCUUCCGAGGUUAUACCUUGUGGUCACGAUGUUAGGCGUUCCAGACGCGUUCUACGCGAACUGUUAUUGUAUAGUUUAAUGUAUAAGGCGUCAGAAUACAGGGUUUGUUUUGUAAAAGUGCUGCUUUGUAAGCCGAUCGGCUGGCCUAGCCGAUCGAACAGCCUAACCGAUCGAACAGCUGUUCGAUCGGGUGGCCCAACCGAUCGGUUAGCCUAACCGAUCGGACAGCACUUAGCUUAUUCUGACUUGCCUAUAAAUAGAAGUUCAGUCAGCUCAUUUAGGACUUUUGAAUCUGUCUGUAACCUAGAGAGCUGAAGUCUGUGAUCAACUGGAACUUGUAUCUUGUCAUAUAUUUCAAUUGAAUUGCAGACUAUUGAACAUGGAAAUCAUAUGUCUUUCUGUAUCUGUAUAUGAUUUGCUGGAUUCCGCA
rnacentral:lncRNA from 1 species